CGGACGGGCGAGUAACGCGUGAGGAACCUGCCUCAGAGUGGGGGAUAACACACCGAAAGGUGUGCUAAUACCGCAUAACAUAUGGGAGGGGCAUCCCUUUCAUAUCAAAGAUUUAUUGCUCUGAGAUGGCCUCGCGUCCAAUUAGCUAGUUGGCGGGGUAACGGCCCACCAAGGCGACGAUUGGUAGCCGGACUGAGAGGUUGAACGGCCACAUUGGGACUGAGACACGGCCCAGACUCCUACGGAAGGCAGCAG
rnacentral:rRNA from 1 species